AGAAGCCGGUAUCCCGAAAAGCCCGUAUCCAGAUUGCAGGAAAUCUUUCGACCUCCAGCGGCUUUAGAAGAGUUCACAACGUAAGUCACUCUGGCUCAAAACAACCGGCCGUUUUCAUCGAACCAAGAGCGGUCUUCCCAUCAGACGGUCAAGGAUGGUCGUCAUCCGGAUGAAAAGACUUAUCCACCUCUAAAUAGCUUCAUCCCAAGAUGCUGACGAUGGUAGCUGCUAAAUGCUGUUACGGCUCAUUACCGUUCACAAGAAGGAAACCGACAAAUUGUGCCUAGAGCGAAGGAAAAGGAAGUCUGCACCAAGAGAUUCGUUUUAUGUUUAAUAAUGUGCUGAAACUAAACGUAGUGAAUA